GUGCUCGAGUGGCGAACGGGUGAGUAAUACAUAAGUAACCUGCCAUAGACAGGGGGAUAACUAUUGGAAACGAUAGCUAAGACCGCAUAGGUACGGACACUGCAUGGUGACCGUAUUAAAAGUGCCUCAAAGCACUGGUAGAGGAUGGACUUAUGGCGCAUUAGCUGGUUGGCGGGGUAACGGCCCACCAAGGCGACGAUGCGUAGCCGACCUGAGAGGGUGACCGGCCACACUGGGACUGAGACACGGCCCAGACUCCUACGGGAGGCAGCAGUAGGGAAUUUUCGGCAAUGGGGGAAACCCUGACCGAGCAACGCCGCGUGAAGGAAGAAGGUUUUCGGAUUGUAAACUUCUGUUAUAAAGGAAGAACGGCGGCUACAGGAAAUGGUAGCCGAGUGACGGUACUUUAUUAGAAAGCCACGGCUAACUACGUGCCAGCAGCCGCGGUAAUACGUAGGUGGCAAGCGUUAUCCGGAAUUAUUGGGCGUAAAGAGGGAGCAGGCGGCAGCAAGGGUCUGUGGUGAAAGCCUGAAGCUUAACUUCAGUAAGCCAUAGAAACCAGGCAGCUAGAGUGCAGGAGAGGAUCGUGGAAUUCCAUGUGUAGCGGUGAAAUGCGUAGAUAUAUGGAGGAACACCAGUGGCGAAGGCGACGAUCUGGCCUGCAACUGACGCUCAGUCCCGAAAGCGUGGGGAGACAAAUAGGAUUAGAUACCCUAGUAGUCCACGCCGUAAACGAUGAGUACUAAGUGUUGGAUGUCAAAGUUCAGUGCUGCAGUUAACGCAAUAAGUACUCCGCC
rnacentral:rRNA from 1 species